rnacentral:rRNA from 1 species
AUUGAACGCUGGCGGCAGGCCUAACACAUGCAAGUCGAGCGAGCGGCGGGCGGGUGAGUAAGGUAUGGGGAUCUGCGCGAGAGAGGGGGUUAACUACUGGACACGGUGGCUAAUACCGCAUACUAUCGGAUGAACCCGUCUGGGAUUAGCUAGUAGGUAGGGUAAAGGCUCACCAAGGCGACGAUCUCUAACUGGUCUGAGAGGAUGAUCAGCAACACUGGGACUGAGACACGGCCCAGACUCCUACGGGAGGCAGCAGUGGGGAAUAUUGGACAAUGGGCGAAAGCCUGAGCCAGCCAUGCCGCGUGUAUGAAGAAGGCCUUAGGGUUGUAAAGUACUUUAAGCGGGGAGGCGUUACCAGCAGAAGAAGCACCGGCUAACUCCGUGCCAGCCGCCGCGGUAAUAC